rnacentral:antisense_RNA from 1 species
CUUGAUCGACCCGAGCCACAGCGGUUCGGAACGGUUCACGCCGUAGGUGGCCAGCAGGGACUGUGCCUC